rnacentral:rRNA from 1 species
ACGAACGCUGGCGGCGUGCCUAAUACAUGCAAGUCGAGCGGACCAAUGAAGAGCUUGCUCUUCGGCGGUUAGCGGCGGACGGGUGAGUAACACGUAGGCAACCUGCCUGUACGACUGGGAUAACUCCGGGAAACCGGAGCUAAUACCGGAUACUUCUUUCAGACCGCAUGGUCUGAAAGGGAAAACCUUUGGUCACGUACAGAUGCGCGUGCGGCGCAUUAGCUAGUUGGUGGGGUAACGGCCUACCAAGGCGACGAUGCGUAGCCGACCUGAGAGGGUGAUCGGCCACACUGGGACUGAGACACGGCCCAGACUCCUACGGGAGGCAGCAGUAGGGAAUCUUCCGCAAUGGACGAAAGUCUGACGGAGCAACGCCGCGUGAACGAUGAAGGUUUUCGGAUCGUAAAGUUCUGUUGUUAGGGAAGAACCGCGGGAUACUCCCGGUCUGACGGUACCUAACGAGAAAGCCCCGGCUAACUACGUGCCAGCAGCCGCGGUAAUACGUAGGGGGCAAGCGUUGUCCGGAAUUAUUGGGCGUAAAGCGCGCGCAGGCGGCUUCUUAAGUCAGGUGUGAAAGCCCACGGCUCAACCGUGGAGGGCCACUUGAAACUGGGAAGCUUGAGUGCAGGAGAGGAGAGCGGAAGUCCACGUGUAGCGGUGAAAUGCGUAGAGAUGUGGAGGAACACCCGUGGCGAAGGCGGCUCUCUGGCCUGUAACUGACGCUGAGGCGCGAAAGCGUGGGGAGCGAACAGGAUUAGAUACCCUGGUAGUCCACGCCGUAAACGUUGAGUGCUAGGUGUUGGGGACUCCAAUCCUCAGUGCCGC